rnacentral:rRNA from 1 species
CACGUAGGGGGCAAGCGUUGUCCGGAUUUAUUGGGCGUAAAGAGCUCGUAGGUGGCUUAGUAAGUCGGGUGUGAAACCUCCAGGCUCAACCUGGAGACGCCACCCGAUACUGCUAUAGCUUGAGUCCGGUAGGGGAGCGUGGAAUUCCUGGUGUAGCGGUGAAAUGCGCAGAUAUCAGGAAGAACACCCGUGGCGAAGGCGGCUCUCUGGGACGUGACUGACGCUGAGACGCGAAAGCGUGGGGAGCAAACAGG